rnacentral:rRNA from 1 species
UACAGAGGGUGCGAGCGUUGUUCGGAAUCAUUGGGCGUAAAGGGCGUGUAGGCGGCCAGGCACGUCGGGCGUGAAAGCCCCCGGCUCAACCGGGGAAGUGCGCUCGAAACCGCCUGGCUCGAGUGCCGGAGAGGGUGGCGGAAUUCCCGGUGUAGAGGUGAAAUUCGUAGAUACCGGGAGGAACACCAGUGGCGAAGGCGGCCACCUGGAAGGUCACUGACGCUGAGGCGCGAAAGCGUGGGGAG